rnacentral:lncRNA from 1 species
AGAAGGGAAGCUUCAGUGUGAGGUAGUUGCCUUGCCAGUUCAGCACAAUCCUCUUCAUUUUGACAUUGCAUUACAUGCUCUGGUGAUAAAGAAUCCAGAAUACCUGUAGGCAGUUCCCUAAACCAAGCCUUGGGAAGCACAAGAAUAUCAAAUCAAUAAUCAUGCCAAAACAAAAUCACAAACAAAUUAUAUAGUAAGCAGAAGUUACAGAUUGUAUUUUCUAGGAUUUACUUUCAUUGUUAUACCUUGAUUAGUCCUGCCAAACAAUGUACAUCAAUGCCUUCUGGGAUCACUCCCCUAUUUAUUUGAUCCCUAACAUAUUCCUCUUGAGUAUUGUCUGCAUUAAUUCUGAAAAUCCCCUCUGCCUGCAUACAUAAAUUCAAUUGUUUAACCAAGAUUACAUUUUGACAUUUGUAAAAUGAAGCAAUGACAGAUUGUAGAGUGGUGAAGUAUAAAGGACUGUCUUGUUUUUUUUUUUUUGUAAUUGUGUUCAGUUGUUAUAUUCAACAAUAUGAGAAAUUGAGACAAGGAGAAGAUGAGCUGAGAAAGAUCUAGGUGAUCAAC